UGGGGAAUUUUUCGCAAUGGGGGAAACCCUGACGAAGCAACGCCGCGUGGAGGAUGAAGGCCUUCGGGUCGUAAACUCCUGUCGACCGGGACGAAAGUAGUCCGACCCAAUACGUCGGGCUAUCGACUGUACCGGUGGAGGAAGCCACGGCUAACUCUGUGCCCGCAGCCGCGGUAAUACAGAGGUGGCAAGCGUUGUUCGGAAUUACUGGGCGUAAAGGGCGCGUAGGCGGCCUUGCAAGUCCUGCGUGAAAUCCCUCGGCUCAACUGAGGAAUUGCACGGGAAACUGUUUGGCUUGGGUUCGGGAGAGGGAAGCGGAAUUCCGGGUGUAGCGGUGAAAUGCGUAGAUAUCCGGAGGAACACCGGUGGCGAAGGCGGCUUCCUGGACCGACACUGACGCUGAGGCGCGAAAGCUAGGGGAGCAAACGGG
rnacentral:rRNA from 1 species